rnacentral:rRNA from 1 species
UGGAUUGGUGCCGUUCGGGAACUCUGACACAGGUGCUGCAGUGGCUGUCGUCAGCUCGUGUCGUGAGAUGUUGGGUUAACGUCCCGUAACGAGCGCAACCCUUGUCCUUAGUUACCAGCACGUUAUGGUGGGCACUCUAAGGAGACUGCCGGUGACAAACCGGAGGAAGGUGGGGAUGACGUCAAGUCAUCAUGGCCCUUACGGCCUGGGCUACACACGUGCUACAAUGGUCGGUACAAAGGGUUGCCAAGCCGCGAGGUGGAGCUAAUCCCAUAAAACCGAUCGUAGUCCGGAUCGCAGUCUGCAACUCGACUGCGUGAAGUCGGAAUCGCUAGUAAUCGUGAAUCAGAAUGUCACGGUGAAUACGUUCCCGGGCCUU